GCGACCCCAGGUCAGGCGGGACUACCCGCUGAGUUUAAGCAUAUAAAUAAGCGGAGGAGAAGAAACUUACAAGGAUUCCCCUAGUAACGGCGAGCGAACCGGG
rnacentral:rRNA from 7 species